rnacentral:rRNA from 1 species
AGUUACUGUUAACUGAAUACAUAGGUUAACAGAGCAAACCGGGGGAACUGAAACAUCUAAGUACCCCGAGGAGAAGAAAUCAACCGAGAUUCCGGUAGUAGCGGCGAGCGAACCUGGAUUAGCCCUUAAGCACUCGGUGAAGUAGGUGAACAAGCUGGAAAGCUUGGCGAUACAGGGUGAUAGCCCCGUAACCGACGCUUCAUCGAGCGUGAAAUCGAGUAGGGCGGGACACGUGAUAUCCUGUCUGAAUAUGGGGGGACCAUCCUCCAAGGCUAAAUACUCCUGACUGACCGAUAGUGAACCAGUACCGUGAGGGAAAGGCGAAAAGAACCCCUGUGAGGGGAGUGAAAUAGAACCUGAAACCGUGUACGUACAAGCAGUAGGAGCACCUUCGUGGUGUGACUGCGUACCUUUUGUAUAAUGGGUCAGCGACUUAUAUUCAGUGGCAAGGUUAACCGUAUAGGGGAGCCGUAGCGAAAGCGAGUCUUAACUGGGCGCUCAGUCUCUGGAUAUAGACCCGAAACCGGGUGAUCUAGCCAUGGGCAGGUUGAAGGUUGAGUAACAUCAACUGGAGGACCGAACCGACUAAUGUUGAAAAAUUAGCGGAUGACUUGUGGCUAGGGGUGAAAGGCCAAUCAAACUCGGAGAUAGCUGGUUCUCCCCGAAAGCUAUUUAGGUAGCGCCUCGGACGAAUACUACUGGGGGUAGAGCACUGUUAAGGCUAGGGGGUCAUCCCGACUUACCAACCCUUUGCAAACUCCGAAUACCAGUAAGUACUAUCCGGGAGACACACGGCGGGUGCUAACGUCCGUCGUGGAGAGGGAAACAACCCAGACCGCCAGCUAAGGUCCCAAAGUAUUGCUAAGUGGGAAACGAUGUGGGAAGGCUCAGACAGCUAGGAUGUUGGCUUAGAAGCAGCCAUCAUUUAAAGAAAGCGUAAUAGCUCACUAGUCGAGUCGGCCUGCGCGGAAGAUGUAACGGGGCUAAGCAAUACACCGAAGCUGCGGCAAUGUCUUUUAGACAUUGGGUAGGGGAGCGUUCUGUAAGCCGUUGAAGGUGAAUCGUAAGGUUUGCUGGAGGUAUCAGAAGUGCGAAUGCUGACAUGAGUAACGACAAAGGGGGUGAAAAACCUCCUCGCCGGAAGACCAAGGGUUCCUGUCCAACGUUAAUCGGGGCAGGGUGAGUCGACCCCUAAGGUGAGGCCGAAAGGCGUAAUCGAUGGGAAACGGGUUAAUAUUCCCGUACUUCUGACUAUUGCGAUGGGGGGACGGAGAAGGCUAGGUGGGCCAGGCGACGGUUGUCCUGGUUCAAGUGCGUAGGCUUGAGAGUUAGGUAAAUCCGGCUCUCUCUAAG